rnacentral:rRNA from 1 species
GACGAACGCUGGCGGCGUGCUUAACACAUGCAAGUCGAGCGGUAAGGCCCUUUCGGGGGUACACGAGCGGCGAACGGGUGAGUAACACGUGGGUGACCUGCCCUCAGCUCUGGGAUAAGCCUGGGAAACCGGGUCUAAUACCGGAUAUGACUCCAUGACGCAUGUUGUGGGGUGGAAAGCCUUGUGCGGCUGAGGAUGGGCCCGCGGCCUAUCAGCUUGUUGGUGGGGUGAUGGCCUACCAAGGCGACGACGGGUAGCCGGCCUGAGAGGGCGACCGGCCACACUGGGACUGAGACACGGCCCAGACCUCCGUACGGGAGGCAGCAGGUGGGGAAUCUUGCGCAAGUGGGACGAAAGCCUGACGCGGCGACGCCGCGUGA